rnacentral:snRNA from 1 species
GGAUUUGUACUGGAUUUGACUGUGACAUCUAUCACCCUACUGCUCAUCAGGGUUAAGCUGGCUGGCUAGGCAGGUGUAAUUUUCUUACCUCAUGCUCC